rnacentral:rRNA from 1 species
AACGAACGCUGGCGGCAUGCCUAACACAUGCAAGUCGAACGAGACCUUCGGGUCUAGUGGCGCACGGGUGCGUAACGCGUGGGAACCUGCCCUUAGGUUCGGAAUAACUCCCCGAAAGGGGUGCUAAUACCGGAUAAUGUCUUCGGACCAAAGAUUUAUCGCCUUUGGAUGGGCCCGCGUUGGAUUAGCUAGUUGGUAGGGUAAAAGCCUACCAAGGCGACGAUCCAUAGCUGGUAUGAGAGGAUGAUCAGCCACACUGGGACUGAGACACGGCCCAGGCUCCUACGGGAGGAAGCAGUGGGGAAAAUUGGACAAUGGGCGAAAGCCUGAUCCAGCAAGGCCGCGUGAGUGAUGAAGGCCUUAGGGUUGUAAAGCUCUUUUACCCGGGAUGAUAAUGACAGGACCGGGAGAAUAAGCUCCGGCGAACUCCGU